rnacentral:rRNA from 1 species
ACUCCUACGGGAGGCAGCAGUAGGGAAUAUUGGACAAUGGGCGAAAGCCUGAUCCAGCAAUGCCGCGUGAGUGAUGAAGGCCUAUGGGUCGUAAAGCUCUGUCGUAUAGGAAUAAAUGCCUGUGGUUAAUACCCGCAGGAGCUGAAGGUACUAUACAAGAAAGCACCGGCUAACUACGUGCCAGCAGCCGCGGUAAUACGUAGGGUGCUAGCGUUGUUCGGAAUUACUGGGCGUAAAGCGCAUGUAGGCGGCUAUUUAAGUCAGAUGUGAAAGCCCUGGGCUCAACCUGGGACGUGCAUCUGAUACUAUUUAGCUUGAGUACAGGAGAGGUAGUGGAAUUUCUGGUGUAGUGGUGAAAUACGUAGAUAUCAGAAGGAACAUCGGUGGCGAAGGCGGCUGCCUGGCCUUGUACUGACGCUGAGAUGCGAAAGCGUGGGAGCAAACAGGAUUAGAUACCCUGGUAGACUGUCA